rnacentral:rRNA from 1 species
AUUGAACGCUGGCGGCAGGCCUAACACAUGCAAGUCGAACGGAGUGGCGGACGGGUGAGGAAUGUCUGGGCAUCUGCCUGGUAGUGGGGGAUAACGUCCGGAAACGGGCGCUAAUACCGCAUACUAUCGGAUGAGCCUAGGUCGGAUUAGCUAGGUGGUGGGGUAAAGGCCUACCAAGGAGACGAUCCGUAACUGGUCUGAGAGGAUGAUCAGUCACCUUGGAACUUGGACACGUUCAAGACUCCUACGGGAGGCAGCAGUGGGGAAUAGUGGACAAUGGGCGAAAGCCUGAUCCAGUCAUGCCGCGUGUGUGAAGAAGGUCUUCGGAUUGUAAAGCACUCUAAGUUGGGAGGCGUUACCAACAGAAUAAGCACCGGCUAACUUCGUGCCAGCAGCCGCGGUAAUUC